rnacentral:misc_RNA from 1 species
AAGUCGUAACAAGGUUUCCGUAGGUGAACCUGCGGAAGGAUCAUUAUCGAAUUAUAAGCGAGGGUUGUCGCUGGCCUCUCGGGGCAUGUGCACGCCCGAGCCGUUAAUCCAAACUUUACACCUGUGAACUUACCGCGUAGGGCCUUCCUUUGCCGGAGGCGUCCUAUGUCCUUCAUAAACACCGCAUGUCAAUAGAAUGUAAUCGAUAUCUUCGCCCUAAAAAAGCGUCGGUAAAACUUAUACAACUUUCAACAACGGAUCUCUUGGCUCUC